rnacentral:piRNA from 1 species
UGGAAUUCCGGUGGACAACAUGGUGGUCCC